UGCAAGUCGAACGAUGAAGCCCUUCGGGGUGGAUUAGUGGCGAACGGGUGAGUAACACGUGGGCAAUCUGCCCUUCACUCUGGGACAAGCCCUGGAAACGGGGUCUAAUACCGGAUAACACCUGCCCGGGCAUCCGGGUGGGUUAAAAGCUCCGGCGGUGAAGGAUGAGCCCGCGGCCUAUCAGCUUGUUGGUGAGGUAGUGGCUCACCAAGGCGACGACGGGUAGCCGGCCUGAGAGGGCGACCGGCCACACUGGGACUGAGACACGGCCCAGACUCCUACGGGAGGCAGCAGUGGGGAAUAUUGCACAAUGGGCGAAAGCCUGAUGCAGCGACGCCGCGUGAGGGAUGACGGCCUUCGGGUUGUAAACCUCUUUCAGCAGGGAAGAAGCGAAAGUGACGGUACCUGCAGAAGAAGCGCCGGCUAACUACGUGCCAGCAGCCGCGGUAAUACGUAGGGCGCAAGCGUUGUCCGGAAUUAUUGGGCGUAAAGAGCUCGUAGGCGGCUUGUCACGUCGGGUGUGAAAGCCCGGGGCUUAACCCCGGGUCUGCAUUCGAUACGGGCUAGCUAGAGUGUGGUAGGGGAGAUCGGAAUUCCUGGUGUAGCGGUGAAAUGCGCAGAUAUCAGGAGGAACACCGGUGGCGAAGGCGGAUCUCUGGGCCAUUACUGACGCUGAGGAGCG
rnacentral:rRNA from 1 species